GACCUCGAGCUCAAGAGUCACAUGUUGCAUGGACUGAGCCAGCCAGGGGUCCCUUGAACAUCCUCUAGAUGUUGAUUCAAGACUCUGCCCAGGGUUGAACUCUUGGCAAGUGUUAAGGAUGGUGAGUACUUGUAACCUUAGUGGUUGUGGCUUGGCAGAGUAUGUACCAGUGAGGAGAGCAAGCAUCUUGUCUUACCCCUGUCAUAGCCCCAGAGCCAGUAAUGGUGAACCCACUGGGGCUAGCUGGGAGAGAGGAUGAGAAUUUGUUCCAUAAGGAACUGUCUGAGGUACAGCAUAUGCCUGUCAGUAGCAUUUUCUUAGCUUAAAUCUGUUAACCAUAGCUAGAAUGGACUUGGCUGUUUUAGAUCCUUUACUAAUUCUGUAAUUUUCUCAUUCAGAAGCAGCUUGUUCCUGUGUGUUACCCCAAAGCCUCCAGAGUUAACAGGUUAGUCGAUUAAUGUCUAUGGUUCAUGCCCCAAAUAGGCAGUUUCCGUGAUGAAUCAAACUAGCUCACUAUGACUUACACAAUGAAAAUAAGUGAACACCUGAGAAACUGGUGAAGGCAGGAGCAGAGGGAUGCUAUGUGGAAGGGCUUUUUAUACACCUACACUUUCAUCUUUUUCUAGGUGCUGUUACCAUAACCUGCUUGCUUGUUCAGAGGUGAGAUGUUUAUAUAUGUGGUACGUGGAGCAUAUCAGGUAGAAAAAAUAGCCUUUUGAGGGCCUAAAUGCAUGAUGACUUACAUGGAAUCUCGUUCGGCUGAUGACUUGCUGUUGAGACUCGGAAGUCUGAUUCUCCUAGGAAUGAUAAUUUUAAGUGGGAACAACUUUUGUUGGAGGUAAGCAUUACUGACUCUGGUCUUAACUGUUUCAGGUCUAGUACCUUGUGUGGAGCCCAAGAGUGACUUGAGGAACCCUGAGCUAUUUUUCUGCUGGGCUCCAGUCUGAAGUCAGAGGUCUGAAGAAAGAACACGGCCUGUAUCCUAGGAAUCCAGUUCUUCAGGACUAUCAAAAGGAAGUUUUCAGGUUAUUUUUUGUACAACCUAGUAGAAGUGA